ensembl:lncRNA
AGUGUAUAGUGUAGAGUGUAUAGUGUAUAGUGUAUAGUGUAGAGUGUAUAGUGUAGAGUGUAUAGUGUAUAGUGUAUAGUGUAGAGUGUAUAGUGUAGAGUGUAUAGUGUAGAGUGUAUAGUGUAGAGUGUAUAGUGUAGAGUGUAUAGUGUAGAGUGUAUAGUGUAGAGUGUAUAGUGUAGAGUGUAGAGUGUAUAGUGUAGAGUGUAUAGUGUAGAGUGUAUAGUGUAGAGUGUAUAGUGUAUAGUGUAGAGUGUAUAGUGUAGAGUGUAUAGUGUAGAGUGUAUAGUGUAGAGUGUAUAGUGUAUAGUGUAGAGUGUAUAGUGUAGAGUGUAUAGUGUAGAGUGUAUAGUGUAGAGUGUAUAGUGUAGAGUGUAUAGUGUAGAGUGUAUAGUGUAGAGUGUAUAGUGUAGAGUGUAUAGUGUAGAGUGUAUAGUGUAUAGUGUAUAGUGUAGAGUGUAUAGUGUAUAGUGUAGAGUGUAUAGUGUAUAGUGUAGAGUGUAUAGUGUAUAGUGUAUAGUGUAUAGUGUAUAGUGUAGAGUGUAUAGUGUAUAGUGUAGAGUGUAUAGUGUAUAGUGUAGAGUGUAUAGUGUAGAGUGUAUAGUGUAGAGUGUAUAGUGUAGA